GGGAUGUGAGGAGAGAGCAGAGUGCCUGAAGAAUGGCUCUUCUGUGUAUAACACAUCAACAGUAACUGGGGCUGACUUCUCACGGGUGACAGGAUACUCUGACCUUCCUGUGACAUUAUGCCCUACACAU
rnacentral:snoRNA from 1 species